rnacentral:tRNA from 1 species
UCCCUUAUAGCUCAGUCGGUAAAGAAUCUGCCUGCAAUGCAAGAGAACCCAGGUACGAUUCCUGGAUAGGGAA